CCCUUAGAUGUCCGGGGCUGCACGCGCGCUAUACUGAAGGAAUCAGCGUGCUAAAACCAUUGUCGAAAGGCAUUGGUAAACCCAUUAAAAUCCUACGUGAUUGGGAUCGGGAAUUGCAAUUAUUUCCCUUGAACGAGGAAUUCCCAGUAAGUGUGGGUCAUAAGCUCGCGUUGAUUACGUCCCUGCCCUUUGUACACACCGCCCGUCGCUGCCCGGGACUGAGCCGUUUCGAGAAAAGCGGGGACUGCUGCUGUCGGGGCUUUCGGGCCUUGGCUUCGGUGGAAACCGCUUUAAUCGCAGUGGCUUGAACCGGGCAAAAGUCGUAACA
rnacentral:rRNA from 1 species